UUGUGUAAUAGUAUAGUGGACAUGAUGUAAAUAAAAGAGAUGUAUGUAGAAUGAUGUAAUAGAUAGUACGUCAGUGUGUUUAUGGUUAGUAUGUGCUAUGCCCAGUGUAUGGAUAAUCCCAGAUGUAUGUAUGUAUCCUGUUUUACUUUUCUUGAUGAGAAAUGUGCGGAAUCAGGCUUAAUGUAUGUCUUGUUUGAUGAGAUUCCAGUGAAAGUAAUUUGGGAAGAAAGGGUUUCAUUCCCU
rnacentral:lncRNA from 1 species